ACUCAAAUGAAUUGACGGGGGCCCGCACAAGCGGAGGAGCAUGUGGUUUAAUUCGAUGAUACGCGAGGAACCUUACCUGGGCUUGAAAGUUAGUGACGUCCUGAGAAAUCAGGAUUCCCGCAAGGGCACGAAACUAGGUGCUGCAUGGCUGUCGUCAGCUCGUGCCGUGAGGUGUUGGGUUAAGUCCCGUAACGAGCGCAACCCCUAUCAUUAGUUGCCAACAGGUAAAGCUGGGGACUCUAAUGAGACUGCCCGCGCAAGCGGUGAGGAAGGUGGGGAUGACGUCAAGUCAGCACGGCCCUUACGUCCAGGGCUACACACGUGCUACAAUGGCCGGUACAGAAGGAUGCUACUUGGUGACAAGAUGCUAAUCUAAAAAACCGGUCUCAGUUCGGAUUGAAGUCUGCAACUCGACUUCAUGAAGCUGGAUUCGCUAGUAAUCGCAUAUCAGCAAUGAUGCGGUGAAUACGUUCCCGGGCCUUGCACACACCGCCCGU
rnacentral:rRNA from 1 species